rnacentral:lncRNA from 10 species
CAGGUAGUGACAGAAGAAAAUGCCACAUAAAAAGUUAACAAUGUGCAUUUUUGUGUUACAAUUAUGAUUGCUUAUUUUUCUUCUUAAUUUCUUAAUUUAUUUCAGAUUGUGUGUUAGUUUUUUAAAUGACAUUUUAUUAUUUAAUUCUAGAAAUUAGAGAUUGUAAAUAAUUUUUUUAGAUUUUAUUGUUUCAAAAAAGUAGACAAGGAGUCAUACAUUUUCUGGGAAAAUAACAAUUUAGAAAAAUGUUGACAAUCUAUCUAAUCCUAGGGGAAUCUUUGCAAGUGAUUGUUGUUUUGAGAGUGGCUCUUUACUGAUAUUCACCUAAAAUAAAAUACUUUGAAACAGUAUCUCCAUCCAAGAAAAAAGCUUACAAAAAUAAACAGUUGAGUUAUCUUGGAAACAAGAAACACUUUUAAAAAGAUAAUUACAUUUUAUAAUAAAUUACUUUAAUAAUCCAAAUGGAAUCAUCCUCCUUAAAAAUGUUUUGUUAGUAGUAAUUAUUAAAAUCAUAAAUCAUUUUGUAAAAUUUGUACUUUUGGUACAAAAUGAGAAAGUAUUUAAAAAUUUAUUUCAAAAAAUUUAGCAAUAGUUUGUUAAAUUCAGAUAGUAUAUUUUUUCAUGCGCGUCCGUGUGAAGAGACCACCAAACAGGCUUUGUGUGAGCAAUAAAGCUGUUUAUUUCACCUGGGUGCAGGUGGGCUGAGUCUGAAAAGAGAGUCAGCAAAGGGUGGUGGAUCAUCAUUAGUUCUUAUAGGUUUUAGGAUAGGUGGUGAAGUUAAGAGCAAUGUUUUGCAGGCAGGGGUGGAUCUCACAAAGUACAUUCUCAAGGGUGGGGAGAAUUACAAAGUACCUUCUUAAGGGUGGGGGAGAUUACAAAGUACAUUGAUCAGUUAGGGUGGGGCAGGAACAAAUCACAGUGGUGGAAUGUCAUCAGUUAAGGCUAUUUUUACUUCUUUUGUGGAUCUUCAGUUACUUCAGACCAUCUGGAUGUAUACAUGCAAGUCACAGGAGAUGCGAUGGCUUGGCUUGGGCUCAGAGGCCUGACAUUCCUGCCUUCUUAUAUUAAUAAGAAAAAUAAAACAAAAUAGUGUUGAAGUGUUGGGGCGGCGAAAAUUUUGGGGGGUGGUAUGGAGAGAGAAUGGGCGAUGUUUCUCAGGGCUGCUUCAAGCGGGAUUAGGGGCGGUGUGGGAACCUAGAGUGGGAGAGAUUAAGCUGAAGGGAGAUCUUGUGGUAAGUGGUGAUAUUGUGGGGACGUUAGAAGAAACAUUUGUCAUAUAGAAUGAUCGGUGAUGGCCUGGAUAUGGUUUUGGAUGAAUUGAGAAACUAAAUGGAAGAUACAAGGUCUGAAAAAAAGAAGGAGAAAAAUGGGUAUUAAAGGACUAAGAAUUGGAAGGACCCAGGACAUCCAAUUAGAGAGUGGCCAAGGGGGUUCAGCAUAAUUACUUGCUUGGUUGGCAAGAUUUUGGGCUUUAUCCUUGAGUUUUUUUAUGUUGUCAUACACCAGGCCAGAUUGAUUUAGGUAAAAAUAAGACUCUUCAUUUAAGAAUAUACAGAGUCCUCCUUUUUCAGCAGUGAGUAAGUCAAGGCCUUGGCGGUUUUGGAGGACAACUGCAGCUGAAGAGUCAACUUGGGCCUGGAGGCCUGAUAAAGUUUGUGAUAUGUCUGUAAUGCUAGCAGAGAAGUCAUUAGACAGGAUACGGAAGGUCGUGACAGAGGUUGAAAUGCCUGCUAUUCCAGUACCGAGAGCAACAGUGGAGGCAGAAAGUCCUAAACCAACCAUCAAGGGAAUUAGUGGAAUAACUCUUUUUUGUCGUGUCGGUGUCAUGAGGGGAACAGGGAGCUCUUCAGUCCCAUUUGCAAAUUGAAUUUUGGAGGUAAGGAAAACUAGUGUGCAUGUGCCUGUCCAAUUAGCAGGUAGACACAUGUAGGUAGAGGAUCCACAGAGGAAGAAGAGACUUUGUACUAGGCAAAACUGGAGAUGUAAAGUAAAAAGGUGAGAAGGAGUGCUGAAAGGGGUGUCUUGUACCCAGACUCUUAGGGAUCCACCUAGGGGGGCAGCAGUCAGAGGUUGUAAUGGGGACUGAUGGGGUAACUGCGUAGAGGGGGAGGUUCGAUUUUCAUGGUAUAUGAGAAAACGUUGAGCAUCUACGAGCAAACUUUCACUGUUAUUUUUGGGGCUGGGUAUAAGUAAACAAGAAGAGGGUCUGGGAGGAGAGUCUGAUGAGCAAGGGGAAAAUAGCCAAGGAUGGAGUGAAAUACAGGACAAGUGUCUUCCUAAGCAAUAAUUACUGCUAACGUUUUUAAGUUUGUCAGUAUUGAUAGAGGGCUUGUCUGUAAUAUGGAGCUGGAAGGCUCCAUUUGUUUCAGUGAUGUGUGUAGUUGGGCUUCGGAGAUGAAGAGUAAAGGAACAUCGAGAAGGUGAAAGAUUACCUAGGGGAAUUCCAGUGGGUCUUUGCCGAGAGAUACAUAAAGGAGCGGCCACAGGAAUAGUAGUUUGUGUUGUGAGCGGUCCAAAUGUGGGGGGAGUAGAGUUAAUAUAAGGAGAAAGGUUUUUUAAAUAAGUGCAGAGGAGGGCGGCAGCUUGCUGAUGUGAAAUGUCUGGGGAAGUCUUGCUGGACCUGUCUAGAAAGUAAAUGAGUUUUUCAGGAGGGUAAAGGUGAGGGCUGUUAAAGGAAGUUCGGAGGUGUGGGGAGACAGGAGAUGUUGCCCAGUCUGUCUGUAAGGCAGGGACAGCUGGGUAGGCACUGGAAGGAAGGGAAAUGCAAAGCCAGCAGUUUUUCACUAAGGAGGGAUUAGAAACGGCUAGGAGAGAAUGGGUAAGGUUGAUAGUGUGGUGGAGAUAGCUGGGGAGAGGUAAAGGGUGGCAUAAGAUUGGGAAUGAGAAUAAGAGUGAGUAUAAAAGUAAAGAAUAGAACUUCAUCAGGGUGGAAGUAUUGGAGGAUGCCCUGCCAGCAAAGAUCAUCUAUCCACUCUAAGAGGGAGUUAAGAGUGGCAGUUUCGGGAUAGCACCAAGAGAUAUCAGCUGUGAUGGCUUGAAGAAACAGUGUAAACUGGUGGUGUAAACAAGAGUAGGGCAUUUAUAAGUAGUUGAUAAUGGAGAAUAGGAGUAUGACCAGACAGAAGAUAGUAGGGAUGACUCGUUUUUGGGGGCACAGUCUAAGUUAGUCUGCUCUCUGGAAUGAGACUGGGGCCUAAUAAAAAGGAGCAUCUAUACAGGAGCUCAAAUGGGCUGUACCCUGUAGCAUUCUGAGGACAGGUCUGACUUCUGAGAAAGGAAAGUGGUAAAAGUAUUGUCUAGUCCUUUUUAAGUUGGUGGCUGAGCUUGGUGAGGUGUGUUUUUAAAAGACCGUUAGUCUGUUCUACUUUUCCUGAAGACUGAGGACUGUAAGGGAUAUAAAGGUUUCACUAAAUAUUAAGAGCCUGAAAAACUGCUUGGCUGAUUUGACUAAUAAAGGCUGGUCAGUUAUCAGACUGUAUAGAGGUGGGAAGGCUAAACUGAGGGAUUAUGUCUGACAGAAGGGAAGAAAUGACUGUGGUGGCCUUCUCAGACCCUGUAGGAAAGGCCUCUACCUAUCCAGUGAAAGUGUCUACCUAGACUAAGAGGUAUUUUAGUUAUCUGACUCGGGGCAUGUUGAGUAAAGCUAAUUUGCCAGUCCUGGGUGGGGGCAAAUUCUUGAGCUUGAUGUGUAGGGAAGGGAGGGGGGCCUGAAUAAUCCUUGAGGAGUAGUAGAAUAGCAGAUGGAACACUGAGAAGUUAUUUCCUUGAGGAUAGAUUUCCACGAUGGAAAGGAAAUGAGAGGUUUUAAGAGGCGGGCUAGUGAUCUGUACUAUAGCAUAGCCUGCCUUUGCUGGUGUGUGGUGAUUAGGCCUGGUGGAACCGCCAUUAAUAAAUCAAGCAUGAUCAGGGUGAGGAACAGGAAAGAAGGAAAUAUGGGGAAAUGAGGUGAAUGUCAGGUGGAUCAGAGAGAUACAGUCAUGAGGGUCAGGUGUGGUUUCCAGAAUAAUGUGGGAGACCGGAUUGAAGUCCCGGUCAGGAACAAUGGUAAUUGUGGGACUUAACAAAGAGUGAGUACAGCUGAAGGAGCCGGGGAGCAGAAAGUAUAUGCAUCAGGUAUGAGGAAGAAAAUAGAUUUUGGAAGUUAUGAGAAAUGUAGAGAGUAAGUUGAGCAUAGUUUGUGAUUUUGAGGGCCUCUAAAAGUAUUAGGGUGGCAGCAGCCGCUGCAGGGAGACAUGAUGGCUAGGCUAAAACAGUAAGGUCAAGUUGUUUGGACAGAAAGGCUAUAGGGUGUGGUCCUGGCUCUUUUGUAAGAAUUCUGACUGCACUAUGCCUAGGAAGGGAAGGAGUUGUUGUUUUGUAAGGGAUUGAGGUUUGGGAGAUUAAUCGGACACAAUCAGCAGGGAAAGCACAUGUGUUUUUAUGAGAAUUGUGCCGAGAUAGGUAACAGAUGAGGAUGAAAUUUGAGCUUGACUGAAGUAAUGGGGGCUGUCUAUGAAGACUUGCGGCAGUACAGCCCAGGUAAUUUGCUGAACCUAAUGGGUGUCAGGGUCAGUCUAAGUGAAAGCAAAGAGAGUCUGGGAUGAGGCGUGCAGGGGAAUAGUAAAAAAAGCAUCUUUAAGAUCGAGAACGGAAUAGUGAGUUGUGGAGGAAGGUAUUGAGGACAGAAGAGUGUACGGGUUGGGCACUACAGGGUGGAUAGGCAAAACAAUUUGGUUGAUAAGGCGCAGAUCCUGAACUAAUCUGUAAGACUUGUCCGGUUUUUGGACAGGUAAAAUGGGGAAAUUGUAAGGAGAGUUUAUAGGUUUUAGAAGCCCAUGCUGUAGCAGGCGGGUGGUAACAGGCUUUAAUCCUUUUAAAGCAUGCUGUGGGAUGGGAUAUUGGUGUUGAGCCGGGUAAGAGUGAUUAGGUUUUAAUGAGAUGGUAAUGGACAUGUGAUGGUAAUGGGCAUGUCAUCGGUUGCAAGGGAAGGAGUAGAGAUGUCCCAUACUUGUGGGUUAAGGUGGGGGGAUAUGAGAGGAAGAUGCGAAGGAGGCUUUGGGUUGGGAAGAAGUGCGGCAAUGAGAUGCGGCUGUAGUCCAGGAAUAGUCAGGGAAGCAGAUGAUUUGGUUAAAAUAUUUUGGCCUAAUAAGUGAACUGGGCAGGUGGGGAUAACUAAAAAAGAGUGCAUAAAAGAGUGUUGUCCAAGUUGGCACAAGAGUGGGGGAGUUUUCAGGGGUUUAGAAGCCUGGCCGUCAAUACCCACAACAGUUAUGGGGGCAAGGGAAACAGGCCCUUGAAAAGAAGGUAAUGUGGAGUGGGUAGCCUCUGUAUUGACUAAGGGGAUGGACUUACCUUCCACUGUGAGAGUUACCCGAAACUCGGCGUCCUUGAUGGUCUACGGGGGUUCCGAGGUGAUCGAGCAGCAUCAGUCUUCAGCCGCUAAACCGAGAAGGAGUCCGUCAGAGAGCCUUGGGCCAGAGUUCCAGAGGCUCUGGGAGUAGCUUCCAGAUCUCUAGAACUUUUUCAUCGAGCAUUAUCAAAACUUGACACCCUCUGAAGAACUGCCGUUUUCCCUAAGCUCCAGGCAGCCAUUCAUCAUACGAAAAUUAGGAAAUUGAGAAAAGCACAGAGAUAACUCCGAAGCACAACUUGGUUCUUGAAGGCAGCCCAAUAGUAGACUUCUUACUGAACAGGAAGUAAUGCUAGCUUUCCAUCCAGAUGUGCAUUAAUUGGGGAGAUACGCUUUGGAAAGGUCCCUGCUUCCUCUGAGUCUUCUACAGAUACAGCAAGAACCCAUUGGACGAGGUGACCCAUGGCUUUCUCCUAUAACUGGAGUAUCUUCUGGCCAGGCCCAUGGAGGAAUACUCCCUAAUAACCAAAUUCUGAGGCAUUCAUUCAUUAUCUUUAAAGCAGUGCUUCCCAAACUGUAACAUGUGACUUCACAACUCUUCAUAUCAAAAGAUGGAGUUCAUUUCCAACCUCUUUUAAUUCAGACUGGCCUUGGGACUUCUUUUGAGCAACAAAAUAUGGCAGGAAUAAUGUUGUGAUCUCUGAGCUGGAAUGGAGAUGAUUCCCAAAAAACCUUAGAAGGCAUUACUGAAGAUAGAAAAACCUCCCAGAGCCUGAUUUCUGAAUGAUUGUCCAUUUGGCAUAGUCACCAGGUGUGGAUGAAACGAGGCUUCACCCCUGAGUCUGCAACCUUAGACAAGUUUCUCCACAAUGCUACUCUGAGAUCAAGAUCUCAACUGUACAUCCUGGAGACAACACAACAACACAAGGGAAUAAAAUCUUAUACAACUGUCAGAGGUAUUGUGGAGUUCAAAUUAGAUGAUAUACAAUGACACCAAGGAAAAUACAUUGUGAAAUUUGACGAGAUUCUGAACUCAAAAAGAGAUGCUGCUCUAUUCAUUUCAAAACAACUCAUAAUAAAAGUGUUCCGCCGGGCGCGGUCGCUUAUGCCUGUAAUUCCAACACUUUGGGAGGCCGAGGCGGGCGGAUCACGAGGUCAGGAGACCGAGACCAUCCUGGCUAACGCGGUAAAACCCCGUCUCUACUAAAAAAAUACAAAAAAAUUAGUGGGGCGUGGUGGCAGGAGCCUGUAGUCCCAGCUGAGGCUGAGGCAGGAGAAUGGCGUGAACCCGGGAGGCGGAGCUUGCAGUGAGCCGAGAUCGCGCCACUGCACUCCAGCCUGGUCGACAGGGCGAGACUCCGUCUCAAAAAAAAAAAAAAAAAAAAAAAACAGUUUUCCAACUUAGCGUUUCCGGCAUUAACUAAUCACACCUCAAUCUCACUUUUAUUUUUGCUCUUCUUGUUUUUUUCAACUGGCACCUGGAGCAGGUCAGUCACAUUCCUCAUUUUUCAGGGACACCUUCGAUGCCAGAUUCUUUUUGCCUUCCGGUAAGAUUUUUUUUUUAGUAUCUUGGCCAUUUAGGGGGAGGGAGGAUAAGAAAUAAAGGGACAGUAUUAGAGCGUUAAUAAAUUGUUUUUUGUAAAUACGUUUUAGGAUGUUCACAUGUAGUGCUUCUUCAAGAUUUCUAAAAGUAUCUACGUUAUGGCUUCACUCUAUCAUUGUAAGCCUUACUAGGAUUCCUGAAUUUUGACAUAUAUUUAUUUUUUCUUCUGACUCAAGCUUUGAAUGACAAGAAUACUGUCAUGUUUUCUAUAUUUUCCACAAGAUAGAUAGAAUAAAAUACCCAUCAACUCUCUUUACACAUAGACUUUUUAAUAAAUUGUUUAAACUAUUCACAUCUCCAAUGGCUAAUUUGGGAUGAUACAGAAAUGCACAUGUUUUUAAAUAUAUAUCAAGAGCAUAUUAAACAAUUCCACAGCACAGAUGAAUAAUAUUGUUACCAGUGAAAUUCAUGCUGUAUCCUAAAACAAAUAGCCAAUAUUUGACAUAAUAAAGCAAAUAUCCUUUUACCUUUACUAUCAGUUUGGGGGCUGUUAAAUUAUUGGGGAAGUGGCAGGUAAAAUUUUCUUUUUAUCUUUUCUGAAAAUAAAAUAAUUUGGUAAUGUUCCAGGUCAGUAUACAAAGAGUUUUCUAAUUUAUGUAUAAAUUUUUAAAAUAAAGUAUAAUAGAGCAAAAAGCUCACUAGCAUUUAGAACUGUCCUGAUAACAGAAUGACAGGGCCUGGGCUUGAAUUUUGUGUAAAAAGAUUGUAGGUGCCAAAUCAUCUCCAUUUCUCAUAUCAUGAUUAAUUCUCCAGAGAAUUAUAGCAGGUACACAAAUUAGAAGAGCUCUUUGAAUCUUACUUUCAAAUUUGAAAAAGAAAAUGUGUAUUGUUUUGCAACAUAGCUUUUGAAUUAAUGUUUUUAAUUUAUAUUAUUAUUCUGACCUAAUAUUUAGGUAUUAUAUAUUUGAAAUAAAAAGAGAGGCCACCAUCAUAUUAAGCAUGACAUGAAGUACCUGGCAUAUUCUGAGUUAUGUGUACAGGUAAUUAGUUCUAACUCAAGGUAAUGUUCUCAUAAAUAGGGAACAAAUAUUACCAAAUUCAUUAAUUAGUCAUGCUUAUACUUCUGUCAUUUGGAAUAAUGUGUUUGCUUGAACUAAGGUUUCCUAUUUAUUAGAGUCAUUAAUGACUGUCAGUAAGAUACAGUGCUCUAACAUUUCACCAAUAUUUGAGAAACGCACAGGUAUUGCAUUUUUUUAACAGGGGACUAGUCUCAUUUUAUAUCUGUAUGGAAUGACAACCACAGUAUUAAAUUCCCUUGGCCUAUUUCUGCUACUUUCCUUUAUUUCAUUCAUCCUACUGUUUCCUUUAUUUCAUUCAUCCUCUACCAUUUUUAUUCUUAUAACACGUAUAUCAUUGUAUCAUAAUUACUUGUUUGCAUUUCUGCCUUCCUCCACUAAAGCACAUGAAUCAUUCUGCUUCUCAUAAGCAUCCUCAUUUAUUGUUUAAUGAAUUUAAACAUUCACUUAUACACAUAUAUUUCAAUAAAACUUUCAAAUAAACUAUUUUAACUAAAUUAAAAUAUUUUAGCUGUUAAUAUACGUAUGCAAUCAUUCUUCUGUGAAUAUAUGCAACAUACAUUACUUUGCAUUAUAUAUCUAAACACAAACACAAGGACUAUUGUAUUAGUCCUUUUUCAUGCUACUGAUAUAGACAUACCCAAGACUGGGUAAUUUAUAAAGAAAAAGAGGUUUAAAGGAAUCACAGUUCCAUGUGGCUGGGGAGGCCUCACAAUCAUGUUGGAAGGUGAAAGGCACAUCUUACAUGGCAGCAGCCAAGAGAGAAUGAAAGCCAACUGAAAAGGGAACAAGAAUAAAAAUAUAUAUCCAUGCUAAUGGGAGGUUGCUUAUAAGACAAUGUCUGACAUAUAUGAUUUAUUACAAGUUAUUGAUUCCAAUAUUUUUAAAAAUCUACCACAACACAUUAUCAACAAAAUAAAAUCACACAAAAUCCUGUUAAAUAUUUUGUUAUGAUAUUUUAUGCAACUUUUUAAAGCAUAUAUUAUUUCACCUAACUAAAAUGUAUAUGAAUAAUAUUUCUACAUUUUCAUAAUGAACUAAGGCAGCAUUUCCCAAAGAGUGUUUCAGAAAAUACGUCUUUAGAGAUGUUCUUUUUUUUUUUAUUAUACUUUAAGUUUUAGGGUACAUAAAAAUGAAUUAAUGUUAUAUAGAUUAAAAAUAAGCAUAUGAAAAUGUUCUCAACAACAUAAGUCAUCAGGGAAUUGCAAAUUAAAACAACGAGAUACCACUACGUACAUAUUAGAAUGAAUAUAAUAAAAAAAAACUAAAUUCAAAUUGCUGACAAAGAUGCAGAACAAGAAUUCUCACUCAUGCUGGUGAGAAUAUAAAAUGGCACAGCCACUUUGGAAGACCACUUGGCUAUUUCAUACAAAAACAACACUUUUCCUAUACAACGUAGCGAUCAUGCUACUAGAUAUUCAUCCAGCCAAAUUGGGAAUGUAUGACCACAUAAAAACCUAUAUGUUAAUGUUUAUAGUGACUUUAUUCAUAGUCAGCAAAAAUGGGAAACAAUCAAAAUGUCUUUCCAUAGAUGAACAGGUAAACUUGACACAUUCAUAUAAUGGAAUAUUAUUCAGCAAUUUAAAAAAUGAGCUCUCAAGCCAUGAAAAGGCAU